rnacentral:rRNA from 1 species
GCACAACGCGAAGAACCUUACCUACUCUUGACAUCCACGGAACUUUUCAGAGAUGAAUUGGUGCCUUCGGGAACCGUGAGACAGGUGCUGCAUGGCUGUCGUCAGCUCGUGUUGUGAAAUGUUGGGUUAAGUCCCGCAACGAGCGCAACCCUUAUCCUUUGUUGCCAGCGGUCCGGCCGGGAACUCAAAGGAGACUGCCAGUGAUAAACUGGAGGAAGGUGGGGAUGACGUCAAGUCAUCAUGGCCCUUACGAGUAGGGCUACACACGUGCUACAAUGGCGCAUACAAAGAGAAGCGACCUCGCGAGAGCAAGCGGACCUCAUAAAGUGCGUCGUAGUCCGGAUUGGAGUCUGCAACUCGACUCCAUGAAGUCGGAAUCGCUAGUAAUCGUAGAUCAGAAUGCUACGGUGAAUACGUUCCCGGGUCUUGUACACACCG